rnacentral:snoRNA from 16 species
GCCGAUGAUGACACCAGGUCUCUGAAAUGUGAUGAGCCCUAUGAGUUCUGAGG